GACGAACGCUGGCGGCGUGCCUAAUACAUGCAAGUAGAACGCACAGUUUAUACCGUAGCUUGCUACACCAUAAACUGUGAGUUGCGAACGGGUGAGUAACGCGUAGGUAACCUGCCUGGUAGCGGGGGAUAACUAUUGGAAACGAUAGCUAAUACCGCAUAAUAUUGAUUAUUGCAUGAUAAUUGAUUGAAAGAUGCUAUUGCAUCACUACCAGAUGGACCUGCGUUGUAUUAGCUAGUAGGUGAGGUAACGGCUCACCUAGGCGACGAUGCAUAGCCGACCUGAGAGGGUGAUCGGCCACACUGGGACUGAGACACGGCCCAGACUCCUACGGGAGGCAGCAGUAGGGAAUCUUCGGCAAUGGACGAAAGUCUGACCGAGCAACGCCGCGUGAGUGAAGAAGGUUUUCGGAUCGUAAAGCUCUGUUGUAAGAGAAGAACGGGUGUGAGAGUGGAAAGUUCACACUGUGACGGUAUCUUACCAGAAAGGGACGGCUAACUACGUG
rnacentral:rRNA from 1 species